rnacentral:rRNA from 1 species
AGAGUUUGAUCCUGGCUCAGGACGAACGCUGGCGGCGGGCCUAAUACAUGCAAGUCGAACGCAGUCGACCUUCGGGUCAUAUGACUGAGUGGCGAACGGGUGAGUAACACGUGAGAAACCUGCCCCGAAGACUGGAAUAACCCGAGGAAACUCGGGCUAAUACCGGAUGUCCCCAGAUGGCCGCAUGGCCGACUGAGGAAAUGCUCCGGCGCUUUGGGAGGGUCUCGCGGCCUAUCAGCUUGUUGGUGAGGUAACGGCUCACCAAGGCUUCGACGGGUAGCUGGUCUGAGAGGACGAUCAGCCACACUGGGACUGAGAUACGGCCCAGACUCCUACGGGAGGCAGCAGUAGGGAAUCUUGCGCAAUGGGCGAAAGCCUGACGCAGCCACGCCGCGUGAGUGAUGAAGGCCUUCGGGUCGUAAAGCUCUUUCAGCAGGGACGAAAAUGACGGUACCUGCAGAAGAAGCCCCGGCCAACUACGUGCCAGCAGCCGCGGUAACACGUAGGGGGCAAGCGUUGUCCGGAUUUAUUGGGCGUAAAGGGCUCGUAGGCUGUUCAGUAAGUCAGGUGUGAAAACUCGAGGCUCAACCUCGAGAUGCCACUUGAUACUGCUGUGACUAGAGUUCGGUAGAGGAGUGUGGAAUUCCUAGUGUAGCGGUGAAAUGCGCAGAUAUUAGGAGGAACACCAACAGCGAAGGCAGCACUCUGGGCCGAUACUGACGCUGAGGAGCGAAAGCGUGGGGAGCGAACAGGAUUAGAUACCCUGGUAGUCCACGCCGUAAACGGUGGGCACUAGAUGUGGGAUCCAGUCAACGGAUUCCGCGUCGUAGCUAACGCAUUAAGUGCCCCGCCUGGGGAGUACGGCCGCAAGGCUAAAACUCAAAGGAAUUGACGGGGGCCCGCACAAGCGGCGGAGCAUGUUGCUUAAUUCGAGGCAACGCGAAGAACCUUACCUGGGUUUGACAUGUAG